rnacentral:sRNA from 1 species
GGUAAUCGCAACGGUUCUCGUAGUGGUGAUGUCGCGCAUGGGCAGGACGGUGUAACCGUCCGGCAGCUGCCGCCCGUGCGCCGAAAACAAGGUCCCUGACGGGCCUUUUUUUAUGCCCGUCG